GAUUUUUGUGGGCCGUCUUUCCCACUCCACCACUGAAGAAACUCUUCGCCAGGCUAUGAGCAUAUAUGGAAGAGUAAAGAACUUGAGAUUAGUCAGACACAUUGAGGAAACGAUGGAGAAGUGUCAGUCUUCCUUCUGCUCCUUCUCCUUUGAUUUACUCUUUCUGGACUUUAUGAAGCAGAAACAUAAGCAGCAGGGAAAUUGCAACAAGAACUUUGUCCUGUUGGUUCUUUGUCAGAGCAUAGCAUCUAAGUCAAUUAUGUUUUAUGACACAAGAUAUGUAAGAGUAGACUGCA